AAAGGUCCAGGCACACCGGAUGCGAUUCGACAACGCGACGCGAUUUUUCGAUUUUCACUAGCUGACCGAUAACUUUGAUCCUAGUUUAAAUUUUCCAAAUAUUUAGAAGCGCUAUAACAUUUGGAGUUAUUUGGUCUACAUGUCAUUCAAAAUUUGCUCUCAAAAACUAAAACAUAGGUCCGCUGUGGCGGACAUGCAUCUACUGAAUAGAAUAGUAGCACUGGGAGAUAAAAGGCAUUGAGCAGAUAAAAGCAUAGAUGUGCAGUCUAGCUGAGCUUUGGAAUCGAUUUCUGGCAUUUCCAGAAUCAUAACACAAGCACAACGUGGAAACGUCGCAUUGUUGACGUUUUAAAAUUGUAUUUCCAGUUGGGAUUGCUAGUUUCAGUUGUUGUUAGCUCACAGUCGAGCUAGAAAUCGGAAAUUUUUUUAUACCGUGAUAAAACUAAAAGAUACAAAUUUGAAGAUACAAUCUCGAAAAUAUAAACACUCCGCGCAGUAGUUAUUGAUUAAUGAUUCGAACAAGAUUAUUGCAAUGAAGAUACGGGGCCGAAGUUAUAUCUUUGUUCGGACAUUGCAUAAUUUGAUAAUAUAUUAAUAUAGGCCUAUAUACGAUCUCGCUUGACUUUCAAAGGCCAUAAAUCGCUACAGUGUUGAUAAUGACUUAAACUAUUGUGAGGAAUUAGUUGAUAUUGUUUCACUGACACUGAAUCGAAUGAAGCAUGCACUGAACUAACCUAACACU